rnacentral:rRNA from 1 species
AGUGAACGCUGGCGGUAGGCCUAACACAUGCAAGUCGAACGGCCGCACAGUAAGAUCUCGCUCUUACUGUUGGCGACUGGCGGGCGGGUGAGGCAUACAUCGCAUUCUACUUUUUCGGGGGUGAUUACGUAGGGCCACUUACGCUACUAGCUCAUAUUACCUACGGGUGAGAUCAGGAGAUCUUCGCACCUUUCCCGACUCUAUGAGCCGAUGUCGGAUUAGCUAGUUGGGGGGGUAACGGCCCACCAAGGCAACGAUACGUAGCAGAUCUGAGAGGAUGAUCAGCCACACUGGAACUGAGACACGGUCCAGACUCCUACGGGAGGCAGCAGUAGGGAAUAUUCGGCAAUGGGCGCAAGCCUGAUGCAGCCAUACCGCGUGAGUGAUGAAGGCCUUCGGAUUGUAAAGCUCUGUUGUUAGGGAAGAAAAGAAGUGGGAUAAUACCCGGAUGUUCUGACGGUACCUAAAGAAUAAGCAACGGCUAACUUCGUG